rnacentral:rRNA from 1 species
UCGGGAAUCUUAGACAAUGGGGGAAACCCUGAUCUAGCCAUGCCGCGUGAGUGACGAAGGCCCUAGGGUCGUAAAGCUCUUUCGCCAGGGAAGAUAAUGACGGUACCUGGUAAAGAAGUCCCGGCUAACUCCGUGCCAGCAGCCGCGGUAAUACGGAGGGGACUAGCGUUGUUCGGAAUUACUGGGCGUAAAGCGCGCGUAGGCGGACUAUUAAGUCAGGGGUGAAAUCCCGGGGCUCAACCCCGGAACUGCCUUUGAUACUGGUAGUCUUGAGUUCGAGAGAGGUGAGUGGAAUUCCGAGUGUAGAGGUGAAAUUCGUAGAUAUUCGGAGGAACACCAGUGGCGAAGGCGGCUCACUGGCUCGAUACUGACGCUGAGGUGCGAAAGUGUGGGGAGCAAACAGGAUUAGAUACCCCCGUAGUCC